GGCGAUGUAGCUCAGUUGGAAGAGCGCAGGCGUGAAAACCCUGAGGCCACCGGAUCAAGACCGGUCAUCGCCA
rnacentral:tRNA from 1 species